UUCAUUGCCAGCAGCGGCGGGAGGACGGGGUGAGCGGCGGCGGCUGGCGGCAUCGGGGCGCAGCGCAGUCGGCGGCUAGGACGGCGGCGGCUCGGCCGCGGAGGCUCGCGAUAGUGGGAGGACGAGGGGAACGGCGGCGGCGGCGGCCCAAUAUGCUGCUCGUCAUCCUCGCCCUUGCGGUUACCGGCGCGGUCUCCGACGGCUCGCGAGUCGCUGGACCACAUCUCCAUCAACUGCAUCGGCGUCGGGGGACAUGUCCGGCUGCCGCUCCGUCCACUCGCGCCCGUUCAGCACCGAUGAGGAGGGCGAGGCUCCUCGUCCCCGCUCAGCCGCGGCUCUUCUUGGAUAGUCCCGACUGGAGGCAGUCGGCGGCGGGGAGGGAGUGGGAACGGGAGCGGGACGAUGGCGACGAGAGAAGAGGAAGCUGGCUCGCGUCGGGAUCUUGGUGGUUCGUCGGCGAUGAUGCCGUUUAUGCAUGUAACGAACUGCUGAUGGAGAUGAAUAAAUAGAGAAGAAAACAGAGAAGCUGCGGUGACUGGUGAGACUUAAGCAGCACAAAAACCACUCUGUUCAGAA